CGGGGCGUAGCGCAGCCUGGUAGCGCACGUGCAUGGGGUGCACGGGGUCGGAGGUUCAAAUCCUCUCGCCCCGACCA
rnacentral:tRNA from 8 species